GGGUGAGUAACACGUAGGUAACCUGCCCAGAAGCGGGGGACAACAUUUGGAAACAGAUGCUAAUACCGCAUAACAGCGUUGUUCGCAUGAACAACGCUUAAAAGAUGGCUUCUCGCUAUCACUUCUGGAUGGACCUGCGGUGCAUUAGCUUGUUGGUGGGGUAACGGCCUACCAAGGCGAUGAUGCAUAGCCGAGUUGAGAGACUGAUCGGCCACAAUGGGACUGAGACACGGCCCAUACUCCUACGGGAGGCAGCAGUAGGGAAUCUUCCACAAUGGGCGCAAGCCUGAUGGAGCAACACCGCGUGAGUGAAGAAGGGUUUCGGCUCGUAAAGCUCUGUUGUUAAAGAAGAACACGUAUGAGAGUAACUGUUCAUACGUUGACGGUAUUUAACCAGAAAGUCACGGCUAACUACGUGCCAGCAGCCGCGGUAAUACGUAGGUGGCAAGCGUUAUCCGGAUUUAUUGGGCGUAAAGAGAGUGCAGGCGGUUUUCUAAGUCUGAUGUGAAAGCCUUCGGCUUAACCGGAGAAGUGCAUCGGAAACUGGAUAACUUGAGUGCAGAAAGAGGGUAGUGGAACUCCAUGUGUAGCGGUGGAAUGCGUAGAUAUAUGGAAGAACACCAGUGGCGAAGGCGGCUACCUGGUCUGCAACUGACGCUGAGACUCGAAAGCAUGGGUAGCGAACAGGAUUAGAUACCCUGGUAGUCCAUGCCGUAAACGAUGAGUGCUAGGUGUUGGAGGGUUUCCGCCCUUCAGUGCCGGAGCUAACGCAUUAAGCACUCCGCCUGGGGAGUACGACCGCAAGGUUGAAACUCAAAGGAAUUGACGGGGGCCCGCACAAGCGGUGGAGCAUGUGGUUUAAUUCGAAGCUACGCGAAGAACCUUACCAGGUCUUGACAUCUUGCGCCAACCCUAGAGAUAGGGCGUUUCCUUCGGGAACGCAAUGACAGGUGGUGCAUGGUCGUCGUCAGCUCGUGUCGUGAGAUGUUGGGUUAAGUCCCGCAACGAGCGCAACCCUUGUUACUAGUUGCCAGCAUUAAGUUGGGCACUCUAGUGAGACUGCCGGUGACAAACCGGAGGAAGGUGGGGACGACGUCAGAUCAUCAUGCCCCUUAUGACCUGGGCUACACACGUGCUACAAUGGACGGUACAACGAGUCGCGAACUCGCGAGGGCAAGCAAAUCUCUUAAAACCGUUCUCAGUUCGGACUGCAGGCUGCAACUCGCCUGCACGAAGUCGGAAUCGCUAGUAAUCGCGGAUCAGCAUGCCGCGGUGAAUACGUUCCCGGGCCUUGU
rnacentral:rRNA from 2 species